GGGGAAUCUUCCGCAAUGGGCGAAAGCCUGACGGAGCAACGCCGCGUGAGUGAUGACGGCCUUCGGGUUGUAAAACUCUGUGAUCCGGGACGAAAAGGCAGAGUGCGAAGAACAAACUGCAUUGACGGUACCGGAAAAGCAAGCCACGGCUAACUACGUGCCAGCAGCCGCGGUAAUACGUAGGUGGCAAGCGUUGUCCGGAAUUAUUGGGCGUAAAGCACGCGCAGGCGGCUUCCCAAGUCCCUCUUAAAAGGGCGGGGCUUAACCCUGUGAUGGGAAGGAAACUGGGAAGCUGGAGUAUCGGAGAGGAAAGUGGAAUUCCUAGUGUAGCGGUGAAAUGCGUAGAGAUUAGGAAGAACACCGGUGGCGAAGGCGACUUUCUGGACGAAAACUGACGCUGAGGCGCGAAAGCGUGGGGAGCAAAC
rnacentral:rRNA from 1 species